rnacentral:lncRNA from 1 species
UUGUACUUUUUUCGCUUAAAAGAUUUUUGCUGACCCCAGUAGCAUUUUUGUUGAUCCCAGAACGAGCAGAUGCGGCUUUUUGUAUGGUGACAACGCUUGUAGGCUCACACUUCAAAAAAUAAAUUGUUUGAUCAAUUUUAGCUAUAGUUCAAGGUAAAUAUCUCAAGAUCAUUUAGAACUUAGUGUAGGAAUGGCAUUACCUGUGGAAUCAAACUACCAAUUUGUGUGUUGUCAUUUCCAUGUUCAGCAUUGUCAUGGUCCUCAUCUAUGGUUGGUGCAAUUUGUGUGCUGUCAUUGUUUUGGAG